rnacentral:rRNA from 1 species
UGGGGAAUAUUGCACAAUGGGCGAAAGCCUGAUGCAGCGACGCCGCGUGAGGGAUGACGGCCUUCGGGUUGUAAACCUCUUUCAGCAGGGACGAAGCGCAAGUGACGGUACCUGCAGAAGAAGCACCGGCUAACUACGUGCCAGCAGCCGCGGUAAUACGUAGGGUGCAAGCGUUGUCCGGAAUUACUGGGCGUAUAGAGUUCGUAGGCGGUUUGUCGCGUCGUUUGUGAAAACCAGCAGCUCAAAUGAUGGCUUGAAGGCGAUACAGGCAGACGUGAGGACUGGAGGGAGGAAUGGAAUUCCUGGUGUAGGGGUGAAAUGCGCAGAUAUAAGGAGGAAAAACGGUGGCGAAGGGGGGACUCUGGGCAGUAACUGACGCUGAGGAACGAAAGAGUGGGUAGCGAAAAGG